GAGUUUGAUCCUGGCUCAGGACGAACGCUGGCGGCGCGCUUAACACAUGCAAGUCGAGCGAGAACCAGGCCUUCGGGCCUGGGGACAGCGGCGAACGGGUGAGUAACACGUGGGUAAUCAACCCUCGACACUGGGAUAGCCCGGGGAAACCCGGAUUAAUACCGGAUGGCCCUUUGGAUCUUCGGAUCUGAAGGAAAAGGUAGCUUCGGCCUCCGGUCGAGGACGAGCCCGCGGCGGAUUAGCUUGUUGGUGAGGUAACGGCCCACCAAGGCGACGAUCCGUAGCUGGUCUGAGAGGACGAUCAGCCACACUGGGACUGAGACACGGCCCAGACUCCUACGGGAGGCAGCAGUGGGGAAUCUUGCGCUAAUGCGGGAAACCGUGACGCAGCGACGCCGCGUGAGGGAAGAAGGCCUUCGGGUUGUAAACCUCUUUCAGGAGGGACGAAGCUACUCGGGUGAAUAGCCCAGAGGGCGACGGUACCUCCAGAAGAAGCCCCGGCUAACUACGUGCCAGCAGCCGCGGUAAUACGUAGGGGGCAAGCGUUGUCCGGAUUUAUUGGGCGUAAAGAGCGUGUAGGCGGCUAGGUAGGUCCGUUGUGAAAACUCGAGGCUCAACCUCGAGACGUCGAUGGAAACCAUCUAGCUAGAGUCCGGAAGAGGAGAGUGGAAUUCCUGGUGUAGCGGUGAAAUGCGCAGAUAUCAGGAAGAACACCCGUGGCGAAGGCGGCUCUCUGGUACG
rnacentral:rRNA from 1 species